UGGCAUCGGAAGGGGGAGGGGAAGAGCUUCUUUUGCUUUCCCUCUGCGAAAUUCGACCCAAAUCGAAGAGCGGCGUGGGUAAACGCGGUGAAGCGGGCUCACCCGACAGACCCGAGGAAGGCUUGGGAGCCGAGCCAGCAGUCCCGAUUAUGUGGGGCGCACUUCGUCACUGGAAAACCGUCGCUGGAUAGGCACCACCCGGACCAUGUGCCGACUAUCUUUGCUCACCGGAAACAGCAGCCAUCUCUCGAUCGCUACGAGCGAUGGAAACAUCGCGGGUCCACUGAAGUACGAAGUGCUGGUUCUGCGUGCGUGCAGCAGGGAGCAUCACAGCCAGCAGCCCAG